GGUUUCUGAGAAUGGGUCCCUCCCAGUUCUGUAUUACAAAAGGCCCCAUGAUUCAGCAAUACCAUAAGAGGUCACUAGACAAAUGCCAGUCUCUGGCCCAUUGCUCUUCUUGGCCCGGUUCCCGAGGCUGUCAGGCGCCCCAUUCCAUUCCCCUCCUCCUCCACCCCCUUCCGCCCCACUUGAAGCAGAGGAUGUGUAGGAAUUUUAGAAGAUCUUUCUUUCACUCUUCCCCUAUCUGUGACAGCAAGGAAGGCCUAUCCCUGUGUCAGAAAGCAAUCAGCGUCAUUAUCCUCUAGCCAGAGCCAGGAAAGGCAAGGGGCUACCCAGUGGCCUCAUCUAGGAGGGUGGAUGGGACUGUAUCCUAUGCAGAAAUCACAGAAAACAGUCACUGCCUUGUUUCCCACAGCACGAGAUAAGACCGGGGCAGCCUGUCCACGCUGUGGCUCAGGAAAUCAGCACCUGAAAUGGGAGCCUCAACUCCAUGGCCCCAGAUGAACCAGGCCUGUUAGGUCCUGUUAUAUUUCCUCAAUGCCUUUUCCACAACGAAGUGAGUCUUAGGCAGCCCCCAGAAGCCUGGCUGCUACCAGAGUUGUCAGAGUCAGAGCCUGGGCCCUGGUAUCCCUAACAUCCUGGCUCAGCCACUCGUCCUCUACAGGCCCAAGGUCAAACAGACAGGUUGUGUAAAAUGCUCUGUCACGUGUCACAACUGAGUGGAUUAUCUCCCUGGAGACCAGUUCCCCCUCUGGCCAGCACUGAUCUUCAGUCGCUUCCUUCAUCCAGAGAGAAGCUAUCGGACUCCCUGGAGGGACCAGGAAAAGAGCAGAAACAUGAAGUGGAUGGGGUGGGAGAUGCUAGGGGAUGGCGGAUCCCAUGGGAACCAAGUGCGAAUGCUGUUCAGGGAUUGAUAAGCUGCUUAGCCUCAGUUGAUUGUCACUACGUCUGAAUGACUCUGGGGUUUAUUUAGGUUUUUAAGUAGAGCCAUAUAUCUGGUGUGUGUGUGCGCGUGUGCAUGUGCAUGUGUGUGGAGGUGCACAUGAGGAGUACGUUCGCACAAGUGUGUGAGUGUUCACGGAGAGCAGAGGUCAGCUCUAGGUGUCAUUCCUCAAAUACCAUUCGCCUUUACAAUUUUUUUUUUUUGUGAUUUCUCUGUGUAGCCCUGGCUGUCCUAGAACUCACUCUGUAGACCAGGCUGGCUUGGAACUCAAGAGAUCCGACUGCUUCUGCCUCUCAAGUGCUGGGAUUAAAUGUGUGUGCCACUAGAACCUGGCUAAAAAAUUUAAAUUUAUUAUUAAUAUGUGGAUACAUGUUGGGCAUUCAUGCUGUGCCGUGCACGUGAAGAUAUAAGGGUAGGUUUGUGGAGCCGGUUCUCUCCUUCCACAUUUACAUGGACUCUGGGAUCAAACCCAGAAUGUCUGGCCUGGACAGCAAGGACAUUUAGCUAAGGCCACCUUGCAGACUCCCAUCUGCAUUUUUUUUUUUGAGACAUGCUCUCUCACUAGUCUGCAGCUUGCUCUUUCAACCAGGCUGGCCAGAGAACCCCAACAAUCUGUUUGUCGUUCCAGUUCUGGGACUGAACAUCACCAUGCCUGGCCUUUUUAGCUUGGAUUCUGGGAAUUCAACACGCACGCUUGUAAGGCAGAUGUGUUGCAGAUUACAUUAUCUCCUCGGCCCACAGUUGAAAGUUUGUGCCUCCUUUUUCCUUUCCAAUACCGUAUGGGCCAAACAAACUAUGCCUAUAAGCACGUAUUGGGACCAGGGAGGCAUCCUAUACAAGGUAAGAGCUGGAACAGAGGAAGACCCACGUGUGGGAGGGGCUCUCCUAGCCACAUGGAGAAGUAAGAGCAUCUCAGUGAAGGUAAACUGAGUCUUGAGUGACAGCAGUGCUGGCACAGGUCAUGACAUGGUGCAUCCUUGAAGAGUAACGCAAACCAUCACACAGACUGGGCGAGCCUCACCCCAGGCAAGUAGCAGCUCAGCCAGCUACACUGUAUAUGGCCAUACAGCUGCCAUUUCUCAGCCGUCCUUGUAACCGGGUCGGUGGCCAUGUGACCAGCGAGGUCUCUGUUCUCAUCGGAGAAGACUCCCAUUCUGCCCACCCUGGUCCUGGCUAGUGGAGUGGUCACCCUGAGCUUAGGGCAUGAAGCUGGUUAAGCCUCUUUGGUUUCUGUAAAACUGAGGCAUGUCCAGCCCAUAGGGAGGUUGUGAGGGUGAAGGGGAUCUGUAAGGGAUGAAGAACUGUGCCUGGCGUGCUCUGUGUCCCUGGCAUUCUGCCUACCACAUUAUGUCAGGACAUGCUGAUGAGGCAGAGAAAGAAAAGAAUGGGAGUCUGUCUCCUGGCUCCUGACGCAGUUCUAUGCUGGCAGGCGGGGAUAAGUCAGCCCAUUACCCGCUGGUCUAAGCUAUAGGAUUCUGCAGAGUAACACAGGCCAACUGGGUCCUUCCUGGUUUGUGGAAACCAGGUAAAAGGGUGCCAUAUUGCUCCAAAUACAGACCUGGUGACUUGUAUAACGCUCCCAUAUCCAGACAUAGGUGGCUCUUGGAGCCCUAUGCCUUGUGGGCUCAGAUUUUCUUGUGUCAGAAUGUUUAGUACCACCUAAAUGACGUCAUGGUAACUGUCUCUUUCUUCUCAUUCCAGUUGUUCGAAAGAGCGUCUUUCCCUGGUGCAGUAUGAUAGGCUGAGUUGGCUUUGCUGAAGCUGUGUCCAGUGGAGCAGGGCAGGGUAGUAACAACCUUUGAUUCCCCUGCCAGGCCUUCCUGCCCGGCCCGGAACAUGGUUUUCCAGUUGACUCUGGGGGUUCCAAAGCAAAGAAUUUUGCUCACAGCAAGAGAAAGUGACUGGUCCUGUGGUCCCUGCAGAGAGGCCUCACCUCUCCUGUGCUGCUCUUAACCUGAGAGUGCACAGGGCACCUGCACUGUUCGGCCAUCCCGGGAGACAUCCUGCCCUUACUGCUGACAGACUUUAGCUGAAGGAUGGAUCCCACAGAGACAACAUGGAGGCCCUGGGUACUUCCACCUCACAUCCCUUCCUUGCCCCUCACUCUGGUCUUGCAGCCCUGCAUCAUAGAGGGGCUUGCUCUCAGCACUCUCUCCUACUCCCUUCUCCCCACUCCUCUCCCAAUCCCCCCAGUUAAACUCCUAUAUUAGAUAUCUAUUCUUAACACCCGUUCUCCCAUAAUGACACACGGCCAUGUUCUUGGGAAGAAGAGUUAGGAUAUGUUUUCUUUUCCAGCCCCUGGGACACAUUCCCAUUAAAGGAAACAAUGCUUUGCUACAGUUAGGGCUCAGAUACCAGGCAUAUAUUUUGGUGGGUGUAGCAGCCUCUGUGUGAGGGUCUGGUUCUGUUCCCACACAACACAAAGAGUCAGAGUGGCACCUAAGAGUUGGAGAAUUCUGGGAGCUUUUCCUAGCUCCCUUCCAUGUCUGGGAGGGAGGAGAGAGGUCACUUUCCACAGCAGUCUGGAUGCUUCUGGUCACGUGAGAGCACAAUGGCUUAUUUGGUGCCUUUCCUUUUCGCAAGUGAGUGAACUACCUAGAGUUCCACAGGAGGACUGUCAGGCCUUGUGCCUUUUUUUCUUCCGAUGUGAAGAGACGAGAUUACACGUUUGGCUUACACAAUCAGGAUUCGGUUUUGAGGCUGGGGCUGGGGUUGCCUCACCUGAGGUUUUUGGGUUCUGUUUGUGGAUAUAGAUAUGGGGUUCUUGGAGAGGGCACCAAGGCCUUCUGCCCUUUCUGGCUUUGAAGUUUUGCUGUCUCCGUCCUCACCUCCCGCCACGUGGGCUGCUCCUCCAUUUCAAUUUUUCACAAUUAUCUCUUGGUCCCAAAGGCAGGGGUUGUUUCUUGCUCUCCUGACUCUACUUGACUCCAUUUGGCACCUUGCUGACAGCUGGUAUUCACAUAAUUCCUGCCCACCCCCCCGCACCCCCCAUCUUAUUGAUUUUGGCUUAAAAGAUCACAAUCUUCCAAAAUAGUCAGCAGUAAUGAAAGGUCAUAGACUAAUAACGUCUGAUCUGAUUUAAUAUUGAAAAUGAUGGCUGAGAUCCUGCCAGUUUAAUGUCUGACCAUAUCUGAACGCAAGCCUGGUGGGUGUCUGUUGUGGUUUGCCCUGGAGUUAUCUGUAUUUUGAUGAUAAUUCCACUGCCCCAAGGACAGCUGCCUUGUCACAUGCUCAGGACUCAGGUGACUUCACUAGAACCUUCUCCCCAUUGGAUUUAUAAAAUACAGGUGAGGGGCAGGUACAGGAUAGAAGGAGGCCUGCCAUUGGAGGAGAAGGAAGGAUGGGUGGGAGAGAAGUUUGAAGGAAGAGGAGGAGAACAGAAAGGGGAACAGACAGGAGGGAGAGGGUGAGAAGCCAUGGCAGGUGAUGUUAAGAUUCCACUCUAUGUAUUUACAAGUUGUUAUUAAUGUUUUUUAAGGGAUGAAUGGUACUGGGCUUUGUAUGUUUAGGUGGGCAAUUAUAUCUUACCAAUUGGGUCAAAGGUUAUUGUGUUGUGUGUGUUCUUUCAUGUGCAGAUUUAAGGGUAAGGGAGUGUGGGGCAGCUGGUCUGGGCCGCCAUGGAAUUGGAAUGUGUGCUUCUGGCAAGAUAUCUUGGGGCACUGAGGUGCCAAUCCUAGUGGGAUAAAAGACAACAGUACUUUUUUUUUUUAAUUUUUUAUAUUUUACAACAACAGGUGUCCAGUCCUGGUGGCAUGCUCUGUAAUUGAAAACAAACAAAAACAAGCACUCCUCUCAGAUUUAAACCACCAUUGCAAAGUUGAUGGGAGCGAGCUUUCUCUGGGAUGCUGAGCCACUUCAGUUGUGUAGCUGAGAUUUUGUGAAAAACCAAGGACACAGGAAAUUUAGUGGGAAGACAGUUCUGUGAUCGAUUAACAAUGUCUGCCCAGGGGGCUGAAGGAAAAGUGGCACAAUUUCUGGUGGAUUCUGGGCGAGAAAAUCUUGAAGAUCCAACUCUCUCUAAUAUUCUUGGACUCCUCUCUAUAGUUAAUACGUGAAAUUCCAACUGUUUGGACAACUGCCUGAGUUUCUUCUGUUGCUUUGAUAAAGUGGAUUCACAAAAGCAACUUAAGGGAGAAAGGGUUUGUUUAACUUACGCUGCCGGGUUACAGCUCAUGUUGUGGAGAUGUCACAAGAACAGAGAGAAAACAAACACUAGUGACUAGCUCGUUUUCUUCAUUCUCCUACAGUUAAGAGUCCCCCCUUCCUAGGGAAAGGUGCCGCCCACUGUGGGCAGGUCUUUCUGUCUCAAGUGAUGUAGUCAAGAAAUGUCCCCCUAGACAUGGCCAAAGAGCUGUCUCCCAGCUCAGUCUAGAGUGUGUUGAGUUGACAGCUAAAACUAACAUUCACAGCCACCUAGCACAGUCAGGAAUCUGGACUCCCAACAGGGAUGGUAGCUGUAUGACCCUGGGUUUCUGUCUCUUCAAAUAUACUGCUUUCCUUGUAGGAUUUCUUAGGCAGACAGAGGCAGAAAGAAAAUCUUGGCUUGGAUUUCUUCAUAAGAUGUGAAUUUUGCGUUAUGAUUUAAAGACAGAUGAAGAUGCUGGUGUAGAUGAGGAUUAGGUAUACAUGUCAAUGUCAGCAAGUCUUCCUGUAUUGUAAUAAAAUACUUUAGACAACCAA